AUGAAACAAGGUUUGAAAAAUCAUCUUGACCAGGGCUUUUCUGUCAGUGCACGAUGCAUUAACUUGCCACAUGCGAAGAAUAUAGAAGACAAUGCCUUUAAAACCCUCAAAGUUUGAACGACAGCGUUUAUGGACAGCACUGAGUUCCACCAUUAUCUCGGUUCUUGCAAAAGUGUCGCGAUGGACCGUCCUACUAUACAUUGUAAACAUUUACGAUUUGUUCAGACUUGAAAUCACAUCGAUGAAGAUGUACGUCAUAUAAGGAGUGAAAAUAGGUUUGAAUCUGUUGCAAGCCAAAGAGGCAAUUCGUCAGGACCUUGAAUGAUUUGGUUCCAAGCCAGUUGAAAGAUCAUAAGACUACAAACUGAAUGCCUGUCCAUCAUUCACAAGACAAGGGUGAGAUGGAAUAUUUUUGACUCUCCUGGAUGAAUGCAAUUGCAACAAAACACAGGAAGAUUGACAUGCACAACAAAACAGCCCACAUGUUUGGUACCACAUCCACAACCAUCAACAUUCAAUUCCUUCACCAUGAUGCAUUGAGGCAACAGUGUAUAGGGUAUAUCAUCUAUAAGAUGCACUGAAUUAAAGCUCCUCCAGUAACAUCUUAUGAACCCUCAAGCUGAAUUAUCUCGAAAGACAAUGGGAAUGCCCCUUGCAAAGAGUCCUUCAAUCCACACAUCAUCUUGACUUGGAACAAUGUCACCAUGCUUCAUUGUCACUGGGUCAAAGUCCUGGAACUCACUUCUCAACAUCUCUACGAUAUCCCUAAACUCCAAAGACUGCGACUGUUCCAGGAGGCAGCUCACCAUCACUUUCUCCAAGGCAACUGGGAUUGGCAUAAAUACCAGCCUAGUCAUUAAUGUCCCAAUCUGAUGAACAAAUAUUUUUUAAAAAAAGCUUAGGAGUGGACAUCACUACAGGUACUUCUCCAGUGCUUUGCGGUACCUGCUGAAGAUUAUGCAAGUUGCCAUAGUAAAUGAAUGGUGAUCAUUGCUGCCUGUCAAAUCAUGAACUUAGUCUUGGAUUUGAGAUCCUGGUCCUCAAAUAUUCUUCAUCUGUUCGCUGAGCGUGCUAUUAUACUUGUAGAUGAUGAUGAAUUGUGUUGUCAGAACUUCUAAAGAAAGGUAUUGACCUGAAAUAUUAACUCUGUUUUUCUCUUUGAGGAUGCUGCCAGACCUGCUGAACAUUUUCAGGAAUUUCUGCUUCAUAUUUUCAGCAUCUGCAGAAUUUUGGGUUUUGUAAUAGAAGUUUAAAACACUUUUCAAUUGUUAAUUUCUAACCUAAGACUAAUAAGUUAUAUUGAUUAACGGCAUUAAGAAUUAUCAGGUGAAGACAGAUUUGUUAUCCUUAGAUUCAGUUGUCACAGAUUAGCCAUAUGUUCAUUGAAUGGCACAACUGACCAGGGGCCUAAAUUACAAACUCCUGACCACAUAUUUCUAUUGUACAAUGUACCUUUGUAGUUUGAAACUUUAAGACUCAAUAUCAUUCUAGUAACAUUCUACUGUGCCAUCUUCAAGUGCAAACACUUCCCUGAAGUACCCAAAACUGAACAGAAUACUGAAUUGGGGUCUGACCAAAGCUCUGUAGAACUGAAUUGUCACUUGCUUGCUUUUUCUUUUCCUGAGUAUUUUGUAUUCUUUCAUGGAACAUACAUGUCACUGGCAAGGCCAGUAUUUGUUAUCCGUUCCUAACUGCCCUUGAGCUGAAUGAUUUACUAGACCAUUUCAGAGGGCAGUUAAAAGUCCAUCAAUAAAGGUUACAUUUAUUUUGCCAUUUUUGAUUAUUUUUGUCUUUAUGCAUUCUCUUUUAUUGAUCUUUCCAACUACAUA